UACGAAGGGGGCAAGCGUUGUUCGGAAUUACUGGGCGUAAAGGGCGCGCAGGCGGUCUUGUAAGUCAGGCGUGAAAUCCCCGGGCUUAACCUGGGAAUUGCGCUUGAUACUGUGAGACUGGAGUACGGGAGAGGAGAGUGGAAUUCCGAGUGUAGAGGUGAAAUUCGUAGAUAUUGGGAAGAACACCAGUGGCGAAGGCGGCUCUCUGGACCGUAACUGACGCUGAGGCGCGAAAGCGUGGGGAGCAAACAGG
rnacentral:rRNA from 1 species